GACAGAGGAUGCAAGCGUUAUCCGGAAUGAUUGGGCGUAAAGCGUCUGUAGGUGGCUUUUUAAGUCCGCCGUCAAAUCCCAGGGCUCAACCCUGGACAGGCGGUGGAAACUACCAAGCUGGAGUACGGUAGGGGCAGAGGGAAUUUCCGGUGGAGCGGUGAAAUGCGUAGAGAUCGGAAAGAACACCAACGGCGAAAGCAGGUCUCUGGGCAUUAACUGACGCUGAGGAGCGAAAGCAUGGGGAGCGAACAGG
rnacentral:rRNA from 1 species